GACGAACGCUGGCGGCGUGCUUAACACAUGCAAGUCGAACGGAAAGGCCCUGCUUUUGUGGGGUGCUCGAGUGGCGAACGGGUGAGUAACACGUGAGUAACCUGCCCUUGACUUUGGGAUAACUUCAGGAAACUGGGGCUAAUAACGGAUAGGAGCUCCUGCUGCAUGGUGGGGGUUGGAAAGUUUCGGCGGUUGGGGAUGGACUCGCGGCUUAUCAGCUUGUUGGUGGGGUAGUGGCUUACCAAGGAUUUGACGGGUAGCCGGCCUGAGAGGGUGACCGGCCACAUUGGGACUGAGAUACGGCCCAGACUCCUACGGGAGGCAGCAGUGGGGAAUAUUGCACAAUGGGCGGAAGCCUGAUGCAGCAACGCCGCGUGCGGGAUGACGGCCUUCGGGUUGUAAACCGCUUUCGCCUGUGACGAAGCGUGAGUGACGGUAAUGGGUAAAGAAGCACCGGCUAACUACGUG
rnacentral:rRNA from 1 species